ensembl:snRNA U5 U5 spliceosomal RNA
ACACUCUGGCUUCUCUUCAUAACGCGUACAAGUCUUUUCGCCUUUACUAAAGACUUCCGUGGAGAGCAGCGUUAAAGAGUUGCACCUAUUUUUGGCAGGGUCUGCCGUCUGGCUG